UACAGAGGUCUCAAGCGUUGUUCGGAUUCAUUGGGCGUAAAGGGUGCGUAGGUGGCGCCGUAAGUCGGGUGUGAAAUUUCGGAGCUUAACUCCGGAACUGCAUUCGAUACUGCGGUGCUUGAGGACUGGAGAGGAGACUGGAAUUCAUGGUGUAGCAGUGAAAUGCGUAGAGAUCAUGAGGAAGACCAGUGGCGAAGGCGGCUCACUGGACUGGUAUUGACGCUGAGGUGCGAAAGCGUGGGGAGCAAACAGG
rnacentral:rRNA from 1 species